rnacentral:rRNA from 1 species
UACGGGGGGGGCAAGCGUUGUUCGGAAUUACUGGGCGUAAAGGGUUCGUAGGUGGCCGGCUAAGUCAGACGUGAAAUCCCUCAGCUUAACUGGGGAACUGCGUCUGAGACUGGUCGGCUCGAGGGCAGGAGAGGAACGUGGAAUUCCAGGUGUAGCGGUGAAAUGCGUAGAUAUCUGGAGGAACACCGGUGGCGAAGGCGGCGUUCUGGACUGCUACUGACACUGAGGAACGAAAGCCAGGGGAGCAAACGGG